AAGGAUAAGGAAACCUGCCAUUUGCGUCUUGUUUAGUUUUGAGAGGUCUUGUGGGGCCUUAGCUCAGCUGGGAGAGCGCCUGCUUUGCACGCAGGAGGUCAGCGGUUCGAUCCCGCUAGGCUCCAUUGAAUCGAAAGGUUCAAAUUGUUCAUUGAAAAUUGAAUAUCUAUAUCAAAUUCCACGAUCUAGAAAUAGAUUGUAGAAAGUAACAAGAAAAUAAACCGAAAACGCUGUGAAUAUUUAAUGAGUUUUCUAGUUUUAAAGAAACUAGGUUAAUAA
rnacentral:tRNA from 1 species